ACUGUCUUCAGCAGCACAUACUAAAAUUGGAAUGAUACAGAGAAGAUUAGCAUGGCCCCCGUGCAAGGAUGAUAUGCAAAUUCAUGAAGUGUUCCAUAUUUUU
rnacentral:snRNA from 1 species